GUCUGCAGCCAUACCACCUUCAACAUGCCUGAUCCCAUCAGAUCUUGGAGGCUAAGCAGUGUUGGGCCUAGUUAGUACUUGGAUGGGAGAAAAAGUGAAAUAGCUAGCUAGUUAUAUUCC
rnacentral:rRNA from 1 species